rnacentral:rRNA from 1 species
UUCAUCACCCUGUGACAUACCUAUAACGUUGCCUCGGCGGGAACAGACGGCCCCGUAACACGGGCCGCCCCCGCCAGAGGACCCCCUAACUCUGUUUCUAUAAUGUUUCUUCUGAGUAAACAAGCAAAUAAAUUAAAACUUUCAACAACGGAUCUCUUGGCUCUGGCAUCGAUGAAGAACGCAGCGAAAUGCGAUAAGUAAUGUGAAUUGCAGAAUUCAGUGAAUCAUCGAAUCUUUGAACGCACAUUGCGCCCGCCAGUAUUCUGGCGGGCAUGCCUGUUCGAGCGUCAUUACAACCCUCAGGCCCCCGGGCCUGGCGUUGGGGAUCGGCGGAAGCCCCCUGCGGGCACAACGCCGUCCCCCAAAUACAGUGGCGGUCCCGCCGCAGCUUCCAUUGCGUAGUAGCUAACACCUCGCAACUGGAGAGCGGCGCGGCCACGCCGUAAAACACCCAACUUCUGAAUGUUGACCUCGAAUCAGGUAGGAAUACCCGCUGAACUUAAGCAUAUCAAUAAGCGGAGGA